GCUUACGGCCAUACCUCUCUGGCUCCGCCUGAUCUCGUCUGAUCUCAGAAGCUAAGCAGAGUAGGGCCUGGUUAGUACUUGGAUGGAAGACUGCGCGUGGGAAUCCCAGGUGCCGUAAGCU
ensembl:rRNA 5S_rRNA 5S ribosomal RNA